rnacentral:rRNA from 1 species
GACGAACGCUGGCGGCGUGCUUAACACAUGCAAGUCGAGCGGUAAGGCCCUGCGUUUUACACGAGCGCCGAACGGGUGCGUAACACGUGGACGAUCGGAACUGCACCUCGGGAUAAGCCUGGGAAACUGGGACUAAUACCGGAAAUGACCUCCUCUCGCUGGGGCGGUGGGGGAAAGAUUUAUCGGUGUGGGAUGGGCCCGCGGCCUAUCAGCUUGUUGGUGGUGUAAUGGCCUACCAAGGCGAAGACGGGUAGCCGACCUGAGAGGGUGACCGGCCACACUGGGACUGAGACACGGCCCAGACUCCUACGGGAGGCAGCAGUGGGGAAUAUUGCACAAUGGGCGAAAGCCUGAUGCAGCGACGCCGCGUGCGGGAUGACGGCCUUCGGGUUGUAAACCUCUUUCAGCAGGGACGAAGCGUAAGUGACGGUACCUGCUGAAGAAGCACCGGCUAACUACGUG